GGAAUUUUGGACAAUGGGCGAAAGCCUGAUCCAGCAAUGCCGCGUGAGUGAAGAAGGCCUUCGGGUUGUAAAGCUCUUUUGUCAGGGAAGAAACGGUGAGGGCUAAUAUCCUUCGCUAAUGACGGUACCUGAAGAAUAAGCACCGGCUAACUACGUGCCAGCAGCCGCGGUAAUACGUAGGGUGCAAGCGUUAAUCGGAAUUACUGGGCGUAAAGCGUGCGCAGGCGGUUUUGUAAGUCUGAUGUGAAAUCCCCGGGCUCAACCUGGGAAUUGCAUUGGAGACUGCAAGGCUAGAAUCUGGCAGAGGGGGGUAGAAUUCCACGUGUAGCAGUGAAAUGCGUAGAUAUGUGGAGGAACACCGAUGGCGAAGGCAGCCCCCUGGGUCAAGAUUGACGCUCAUGCACGAAAGCGUGGGGAGCAAACAGGAUUAGAUACCCUUG
rnacentral:rRNA from 1 species